rnacentral:misc_RNA from 1 species
GAUGAAGAACGCAGCAAAAUGCGAUACUUGGUGUGAAUUGCAGAAUCCAGUGAACCAUCGAGUCUUUGAACGCAAGUUGCGCCCGAAGCCAUUAGGCCGAGGGCACGCCUGCCUGGGCGUCACACGUCGUUGCCCCCCCAUCUACUCCUUCGGGAUUGCGGGGGGCGGAUGAUGGCCUCUCGUGCGCCUCGUCGCGCGGUUGGCCUAAAUGCCAAGUCCUCGGCGACGCACGCCACGACAAUCGGUGGUUGCGAAACCUCGGUUGCCUGUCGUGUGCGGUCGUCGCGCAUCGAGGGCUCGAAAAAAUUGCCGGGCUUCGGCUCGACUUUCAACGCGACCCCAGGUCAGGCGGGGUUACCCGCUGAAUUUAAGCAUAUCAAUAAGCGGAGGA